UGAGUCAGCCGGAUGGUCGCGGCGCAGCGCCUAAAGGCACGCGCUGAGGAAAGUCCGGGCUCUUAGGGCAGGAUGCCGGUUAACGGCCGGUGAAGGCAACUUCAAGGAUAGUGCAACAGAAAUAGACAGCCGGGCUUGUCCCGGUUACGGUGGAAAGGUGAGGUAAGAGCUCACCGGCGCCGCGGCGACGCGGCGGCCAUGCAAACCCCAUCCGGAGCAACGCCGUGGAGGAACAACUGUCGCCCGCAGGUUCCAUGGAGGCGGCUUGAGCCUUUCGGCAACGAAAGGUCGAGAUAAAUGGCCAUUCAAGACAGGACCCGGCUUAUAGGCUGGCUCAGCUA
rnacentral:RNase_P_RNA from 1 species